rnacentral:lncRNA from 1 species
GCGCUGGCCAUGCUGGUCUUGGUGGUUUCGCCGUGGUCUGCGGCCCGGGGAGUGCUUCGAAACUACUGGGAGCGACUGCUACGGAAGCUUCCGCAGAGCCGGCCGGGCUUUCCCAGUCCUCCGUGGGGACCAGCAUUAGCAGUACAGGGCCCAGCCAUGUUUACAGAGCCAGCAAAUGAUACCAGUGGAAGUAAAGAGAAUUCCAGCCUUUUGGACAGUAUCUUUUGGAUGGCAGCUCCCAAAAAUAGACGCACCAUUGAAGUUAACCGGUGUAGGAGAAGAAAUCCGCAGAAGCUUAUUAAAGUUAAGGUAAUGCAUUGAUUUUUGUGGGUGUGCUUUUCCUCAAGUCCUCCAUUGAAUAAGCUCAUGGUAGAUUCCUAUAGCCUAGGAAUAAAUUAUUAUCAGAUUAUAUGUGUCUACUUUCCUCUGGCCUAAAUGAAAUACAGUAUUCUCAUUAUAUACAUAAUGAGAAGGCUAGAGCCUGCUGUCCUCUAGCCUGAGUAUUAGAAACACAGUCAAGGAAGGAGUGAGUUUGGAGACUGGGCAAGGAACGAGGCUGUGAGGUGCCUACAUGACUUCUGAAUUGUGAGCUGUGUCAGUCUUGAGCUGUGUGAGUUUUGAACUACAGAUGAGUAAACAUCCUAACUAUGGCAGAGCCUAGAAUUAAAGCUAGAAGCAGUAGGUAUACUGAAUCUUGGGUUUUACAAGCCCUUACAUAUUUGUUUUAUUUUUUUAUCAUUUCCA